rnacentral:pre_miRNA from 1 species
AGACACACUCAUGGGGCAAGACUUGCUUCAGUGAGGCUUUGGUGUUCACUGAGUCUGCCCCCUGAGUGUGUCCCU